UUUAGCUAAAGCUAACCAGGAGACUCCUGACAGUGUCUGUACACAGGAGGUGAGGCUAUAACAGUCCGUGAUGCCUUAGAUAUCCUGGGCAGCAAGCGCAAUACAAUAUCUCUUCAGUAGACAAAGUGAUUUGAGAUGAGUAGGAUCUACGUUUGUAAAUACGUAGUGAAUAAGGAAUUCCUAGUAACGGUGCCUCAUCAAGGCAUGGUGAAUGUGUCCCUGUUCUUUGUACACACCGCCCGUCACUAUUUCAGAUGGUCAUAGGGAUGAAGAGCUUCGGCUCUGAAUAUCUAUGGCUAGAUAAAGUACAAGUCGUAACAAGGUUUCAGUUGGAGAACCAGCUGAAGGAUCAUUU
rnacentral:ncRNA from 1 species